rnacentral:rRNA from 1 species
UGGGGAAUAUUGCACAAUGGAGGGAACUCUGAUGCAGCGACGCCGCGUGAGUGAAGAAGGUCUUCGGAUCGUAAAACUCUGUCCUUGGUGACGAAAAAAAUGACGGUAGCCAAGGAGGAAGCCCCGGCUAACUACGUGCCAGCAGCCGCGGUAAUACGUAGGGGGCGAGCGUUGUCCGGAUUUACUGGGCGUAAAGGGUGAGUAGGCGGUUAUAUAUGUCAGGUGUAAAAAGCUAUGGCUUAACCAUAGUAAGCACUUGAAACUGUAUGACUUGAGUGCAGGAGAGGUAAGCGGAAUUCCUAGUGUAGCGGUGAAAUGCGUAGAUAUUAGGAGGAACACCGGUGGCGAAGGCGGCUUACUGGACUGUAACUGACGCUGAGUCACGAAAGCGUGGGUAGCAAACA